AUUUAUUUCUGUUUAUCUGCUUUCCUUUCCUGAUUUUCUUCAGCUGACAUGGGUGGCGCAGCUGUUUCUCCCAGAAUGUUCCUUACAAUGCAAAUGAAGGUGGAAAAAAAACUGCUUAAGUAAAACAAGGUCCAAAGCGGCCUGCAUUAGGAAGAAGAAGCCUGAUUAAGAACUGUUAUGGACACAGACUGCAGAUAAAUAUUCAUGGUGGAAGAAGAUAAAUAUAACCCAGGACACCAGAAGAGAAACACCUCCAAGGGAAAUAAUAGCAGUGCAUUUCCUUACUAACUGCCACUUGGACCUGUUGAAGGAGUGGACAACUUGGUGAGAAAGUGUGUUAAAGAUCAUUAAAAGUGUGAGAGCGUUUGUGAAAAAUACUAAACAUUGAGCAAGUGAAAUUUUCUGUAUAAAAAAGUGAACUGCAGUGCACAGUGUAAUUUAACUUUGUGCAAACCAUGAGGAUUUUUUUUUAAGCGAGAUAGGACUUGUUUAAAAUGAUAUGUAUCUUUGAAUGUAAUCCUUG